rnacentral:rRNA from 1 species
UGGGGAAUAUUGCACAAUGGGCGCAAGCCUGAUGCAGCCAUGCCGCGUGUAUGAAGAAGGCCUUCGGGUUGUAAAGUACUUUCAGCGGGGAGGAAGGUGUUGUGGUUAAUAACCACAGCAAUUGACGUUACCCGCAGAAGAAGCACCGGCUAACUCCGUGCCAGCAGCCGCGGGAAUACGGAGGGUGCAAGCGUUAAGCGGAGUUACUGGGCGUAAAGCGCACGCAGGCGGUCUGUCAAGUCGGAUGUGAAAUCCCCGGGCUCAACCUGGGAACUGCAUCCGAAACUGGCAGGCUUGAGUCUUGUAGAGGGGGGUAGAAUUCCAGGUGUAGCGGUGAAAUGCGUAGAGAUCUGGAGGAAUACCGGUGGCGAAGGCGGCCCCCUGGACAAAGACUGACGCUCAGGUGCGAAAGCGUGGGGAGCAAACA